UGUUUGAUGUUCUAACGUGGACCCGUGAUCCGGGUUGCGGACAGUGUCUGGUGGGUAGUUUGACUGGGGCGGUCUCCUCCUAAAGAGUAACGGAGGAGCACGAAGGUUGGCUAAUCCUGGUCGGACAUCAGGAGGUUAGUGCAAUGGCAUAAGCCAGCUUGACUGCGAGCGUGACGGCGCGAGCAGGUGCGAAAGCAGGUCAUAGUGAUCCGGUGGUUCUGAAUGGAAGGGCCAUCGCUCAACGGAUAAAAGGUACUCCGGGGAUAACAGGCUGAUACCGCCCAAGAGUUCAUAUCGACGGCGGUGUUUGGCACCUCGAUGUCGGCUCAUCACAUCCUGGGGCUGAAGUAGGUCCCAAGGGUAUGGCUGUUCGCCAUUUAAAGUGGUACGCGAGCUGGGUUUAGAACGUCGUGAGACAGUUCGGUCCCUAUCUGCCGUGGGCGCUGGAGAACUGAGGGGGGCUGCUCCUAGUACGAGAGGACCGGAGUGGACGCAUCACUGGUGUUCGGG
rnacentral:rRNA from 1 species